ACACCUCAACUCUUCAUGGUUUUCCAUGAUGAGCUUGGACUUUGGGGGUCUUGCUGGCCUGCGGUCGGCUCCUCUCAAAUGAAUCAGCUUACCAGUGUUUGGUGGGCAUCACAGGUGUGAUAACUAUCUGCGCUUGUGGUUUUCUACCAAGUAACCUUCAGCAGUGGAGGUUCACUGGAGCUCACAGACGUCUCUCCUCGGCGAGGACAACUUUUGAAC
rnacentral:misc_RNA from 1 species